rnacentral:rRNA from 1 species
AGUGAACGCUGGCGGUAGGCCUAACACAUGCAAGUCGAACGGCAGCACAGUAAGAGCUUGCUCUUACGGGUGGCGAGUGGCGGACGGGUGAGGAAUACAUCGGAAUCUACUUUUUCGUGGGGGAUAACGUAGGGAAACUUACGCUAAUACCGCAUACGACCUACGGGUGAAAGCAGGGGAUCUUCGGACCUUGCGCGAUUGAAUGAGCCGAUGUCGGAUUAGCUAGUUGGCGGGGUAAAGGCCCACCAAGGCGACGAUCCGUAGCUGGUCUGAGAGGAUGAUCAGCCACACUGGAACUGAGACACGGUCCAGACUCCUACGGGAGGCAGCAGUGGGGAAUAUUGGACAAUGGGCGCAAGCCUGAUCCAGCCAUACCGCGUGGGUGAAGAAGGCCUUCGGGUUGUAAAGCCCUUUUGUUGGGAAAGAAAGGCAGCAGGUUAAUACCCCGCUGUUCUGACGGUGCCCAAAGAAUAAGCACCGGCUAACUUCGUG